GGGAAUAUUGCACAAUGGGCGCAAGCCUGAUGCAGCCAUGCCGCGUGUAUGAAGAAGGCCUUGGGUUGUAAAGUACUUUCAGCGGGGAGGAAGGCGCUGCGGUUAAUAACCGCGGCGAUUGACGUUACCCGCAGAAGAAGCACCGGCUAACUCCGUGCCAG
rnacentral:rRNA from 1 species